rnacentral:rRNA from 1 species
GACGACGCUGGCGGCGUUGCUUAACACAUGCAAGUCGAACGAGACGAUUUUAGAAGCUUGCUUUAUUGAGUCGAGUGGCAAACGGGUGAGUAACGCGUAGACAACCUGCCGCAAAGAUUGGGGACAACAGUCCGAAAGGACUGCUAAUACCGAAUGUUGUAUCUCCUCCGCAUGAAAGAGAUAUUAAAGAUGGCCUCUACUUGUAAGCUAUCGCUUUGCGAUGGGGAUGCGUCUGAUUAGGUUGUUGGCGGGGCAACGGCCCACCAAGCCUACGAUCAGUAGGGGUUCUGAGAGGAAGGUCCCCCACAUUGGAACUGAGACACGGUCCAAACUCCUACGGGAGGCAGCAGUGGGGAAUAUUGGGCAAUGGGCGAAAGCCUGACCCAGCAACGCCGCGUGAAGGAAGAAGGCCUUCGGGUUGUAAACUUCUUUUAAGAGGGACGAAGAAGUGACGGUACCUCUUGAAUAAGCCACGGCUAACUACGUG